UAGAGCCUGGCUCAGGACGAACGCUGGCGGCGUGCCUAAUACAUGCAAGUCGAGCGGACAGAUGGGAGCUUGCUCCCUGAUGUUAGCGGCGGACGGGUGAGUAACACGUGGGUAACCUGCCUGUAAGACUGGGAUAACUCCGGGAAACCGGGGCUAAUACCGGAUGCUUGUUUGAACCGCAUGGUUCAAACAUAAAAGGUGGCUUCGGCUACCACUUACAGAUGGACCCGCGGCGCAUUAGCUAGUUGGUGAGGUAACGGCUCACCAAGGCAACGAUGCGUAGCCGACCUGAGAGGGUGAUCGGCCACACUGGGACUGAGACACGGCCCAGACUCCUACGGGAGGCAGCAGUAGGGAAUCUUCCGCAAUGGACGAAAGUCUGACGGAGCAACGCCGCGUGAGUGAUGAAGGUUUUCGGAUCGUAAAGCUCUGUUGUUAGGGAAGAACAAGUACCGUUCGAAUAGGGCGGUACCUUGACGGUACCUAACCAGAAAGCCACGGCUAACUACGUGCCAGCAGCCGCGGUAAUACGUAGGUGGCAAGCGUUGUCCGGAAUUAUUGGGCGUAAAGGGCUCGCAGGCGGUUCCUUAAGUCUGAUGUGAAAGCCCCCGGCUCAACCGGGGAGGGUCAUUGGAAACUGGGGAACUUGAGUGCAGAAGAGGAGAGUGGAAUCCACGUGUAGCGGUGAAAUGCGUAGAGAUGGGAGGAACACCAGUGCGAAGGCGA
rnacentral:rRNA from 1 species